GCCCGGCUAGCUCAGUUGGUAGAGCAUGGGACUUUUAAUCUCAGGGUUGUGGGUUCAAACCUCACAUUGGGCG
rnacentral:tRNA from 1 species